UGGGGAAUUUUGCACAAUGGGCGAAAGCCUGAUGCAGCGACGCCGCGUGAGGGAUGACGGCUUUCGGGUUGUAAACCUCUUUUAUCCACCACGAAGGCCAGGUAUUCGCCUGGUUGACGGUAGUGGUUGAAUAAGCGCCGGCUAACUACGU
rnacentral:rRNA from 1 species